rfam:Oryza rufipogon genomic scaffold, chr12
AAAGAUCGUGGUUUUGUACUGAUUAUCUAUAACGUCUGACCGUCCAUCUUAUUAUUAUUUGAAAAAAAAUUAUGAUAGUAUUUUUUUAUUGUUAUUAGAUGAUAAAAUAUGAAUAAUAUUUUAUGUGUGACUUUUUUUAAAAUUUUUCAUAUUUCUUUUAAAUAAGACGGACGGUCAAACAUUUAACACGAAAACCCACGACUGCACAUAGG